GACGUAGGGGGCCAGCGUUGCUCGGAAUUACUGGGCGUAAAGGGUCCGUAGGCGGUGCGGUAAGUCGGGAGUGAAAUCUCUGGGCUUAACUCAGAGGCUGCUUCCGAAACUACCGUGCUAGAGUGCGAGAGAGGCAAGUGGAAUUGCGGGUGUAGCGGUGAAAUGCGUAGAUAUCCGCAGGAACAUCCGAGGCGAAAGCGGCUGCUGGAUCGCAACUGACGCUGAGGGACGAAAGCUAGGGGAGCAAACAGG
rnacentral:rRNA from 1 species